rnacentral:rRNA from 1 species
GACGAACGCUGGCGGCGUGCUUAACACAUGCAAGUCGAACGGACAGGCCCUGCUCUUGCGGGGUGCUCGUGUGGCGAACGGGUGAGAAACACGUGAGUAACCUGCCCUUGACUUUGGGAUAUAUUCAGGAAACUGGGGCUAAUAUCGGAUAGGAGCUCCUGCUGCAUGGUGGGGGUUGGAAAGUUUCGGCGGUUGGGGCUGGUUUCGCGGCUUCUGCGCUUGUUGGUGGGGUAGUGGCUUACCAAGGCUUUGACGGAUAGCCGGCCUGAGAGGGUGACCGGCCACAUGGGGACUGAGGGAGGGACCAGACUCCUACGGGAGGCAGCAGUGGGGAGUAUUGCGCAGUGGGCGGACGCCUGAUGCAGCAACGCCGCGUGCGGGAUGACGUCCUACGGGUUGUAAACCGCUUUCGCCUGUGACGAAGCGUUAUUGACGGUAAUGGGUAAGGAAGCACCGGCUAACUACGUG